CAUAGGGUUCAAGCGUUGUCCGGAAUUAUUGGGCGUAAAGAGCUCGUAGGUGGUUAGUUACGUCGGAUGUGAAAAUCUAGGGCUCAACCCUAGACCUGCAUCCGAUACGGGCUAGCUUGAGUUUGGUAGGGGAGACUGGAAUUCCUGGUGUAGCGGUGGAAUGCGCAGAUAUCAGGAGGAACACCAAUGGCGAAGGCAGGUCUCUGGGCCAAUACUGACACUGAGGAGCGAAAGUGUGGGGAGCGAACAGGAUUAGAUACCCUGGUAGUCCACACGGUAAACGAUGGGCACUAGUUGUGGGAACCUUCCACGGUUUCUGCGACGCAGCUAACGCAUUAAGUGCCCCGCCUGGGGAGUACGAUCGCAAGAUUAAAACUCAAAGGAAUUGACGGGGCCCCGCACAAGCAGCGGAGCAUGCGGCUUAAUUCGACGCAACGCGAAGAACCUUACCAAGGCUUGACAUAUACAGGAAUAUGGCAGAGAUGUCAUAGCCGCAAGGUCUGUAUACAGGUGGUGCAUGGUUGUCGUCAGCUCGUGUCGUGAGAUGUUGGGUUAAGUCCCGCAACGAGCGCAACCCUCGUUCUGUGUUGCCAGCAUUUAGUUGGGGACUCACAGGAGACUGCCGGGGUCAACUCGGAGGAAGGUGGGGAUGACGUCAAAUCAUCAUGCCCCUUAUGUCUUGGGCUGCACGCAUGCUACAAUGGCUGGUACAAAGGGCUGCAAUACUGCAAAGUGGAGCGAAUCCCAAAAAGCCAGUCUCAGUUCGGAUUGGGGUCUGCAACUCGACCCCAUGAAGUCGGAGUUGCUAGUAAUCGUAGAUCAGCAACGCUACGGUGAA
rnacentral:rRNA from 1 species